rnacentral:snoRNA from 1 species
CUGCUGCUAAAGUUUCUACAUAGGUGCAAGAAAAAAGUUCCUUGCAUUUUCUGUCUAGUUGUGACAGCCAAUAUUGAAUGGGAGAAUACAGGA